rnacentral:sRNA from 1 species
AUAUAGACUUUAUUUUUUGUUUUUCAACAGGCGGACCUCACAGAAGAACAAGUUGCCGAAUAUCGGGAAGCUUUUUCAUUGUUUGACAAAGAUGGCGACGGUACUAUUACAACCAAAGAGCUGGGCACUGUCAUGAGGUCACUAGGUCAGAACCCGACAGAUACAGAGUUACAGGACAUGAUCAAUGAAGUGGAUGCUGACGG